rnacentral:ncRNA from 1 species
UUUAUGUUUUAAAAGUUUGAUUCUUGCUUCAAUAUUUUAGGUAAUUUAAAAAUUUACAUGUAAAUUUUUAGUGUGAUAAUACUAUUAAUUUAAAUUAAUAAUAGUACUAUUUUAUAUACGCAGUAUUUAAUUUUGAAUAUCAAAGUAAUUUGGAUUCGGUUUUGGGUUUUAUAAUCAGUAAAAUUCGUGCCAGCAGCUGCGGUUAUACGUAAGAUUAAAUUAAAAUGUUUUGGUUAAAAGAUGAGCUAAAUAAUUAAAUAAUAAUAUAUUUAUAUUAGACUUUACAUAAUUAGGUAAAAUUUUUAUUAUAAUAAGGAUAUAAAAAUUUAUUUUUCUUGGUUCAUAAAAAUUUAAAUUAAAACUAGGAUUAGAUACCCUAUUAUUUAAAUAAUUAAUUUUAACCAGGGUAAUAAUAUAAUUUUGAAACCUAAAGAAUUUGGCGGUGUUUUAAUUCUAACUAGAGGAGCCUGUCUCUUAAUCGAUAAUCCUCGUUUAACCUUUCUUGAUUUUAUUAUUUAUUAUGUAUACCGUCGUCGUCAGAAUAUUUUAUAAGAAUAAAAAUUUUCAUAAUAUUAAAAGAUUUAAUGUCAGAUCAAGGUGCAAAUUAUAGUCAAGUGAAGAUGGGCUACAAUAAAGUUCUAUUAUAUGGAUUGGUGCUUGAAAUUUGAUUCAUGAAGGUGGAUUUAGUUGUAAUAUAAGAUAAGAAAACUUGUUUGAAAUUAGCUCUAAAAUAUGUACAUAUCGCCCGUCACUCUCGUUUAUUUUAAUAAGAUGAGAAAAGUCGUAACAUAGUAGAUGUACUGGAAAGUGUAUCUAGAAUUAAA